GGAGAAUGAAGAGUCAGUGCUUAGAGGAGCUGCCUAUGAGGAACAGCAAGGAGAUGCUUUGAAUACCUCAGGAAUGUUAUUGUGUACACUGGGAAAGAACCGCCAUGCUUCCAAGCAUACAAAGCUCUUAAAGGGACACAGUUUGUGGUAAUCGGGAGUAGGGCUGCAGCUAUGAAAAGCAGAUUUACUACUGUUUGUCUGAAAAAUGAAAAGAACAAGAAACCACAACUGGGGUAAAACUCUACCCCAGUGAUGGCUGAGAAGUAAGAAUGUGAUGGCUGAGAAGUAAGAAGAAAAUUAAAUACCUAAAAUAAUAGAUUACUAAAACCAAAGCAGAUGUACAAAAUACUAACUUCCCAGAUUCCCAAUAAAUAUCUCAAAGUUUCUAGGAAGCUUCUUAUAAAGUUUA